AUGUAUUGCACAAGUACUGAGAUUGUUUGAUAUGAAUGGGUAGCGAAAGUACCGAUUGUGUGAACAGAGCCAGUCCCUCAGUAAAAUGUCCAAAGACAUUUAUAUUUAACUUGGGUCUCAGUAAUACAGUGUAUACAUUUUUUCUGAAUUUAAAAGAAUUUAGCGCAGAAUGAACAACUCGCUUCUUUUAUAACACAUAAUUUUUCAUAAAUUUUACGUUUACAAUUCAUUAUAAUUUGCUCCUGUGUCACCGACUGUCCACCAUAUCUCUCCUAUCAGCGUCGCUUCGAGUGCACGUUUCUUAGGUCCUACUAUUGACACAUUAUGUGACCACGUGACUCGAAAUUUAUUCGAACGUACUUCGUGUACAACUUACUGUUACUUAGUACGCAUACAAGAGUAUACGUUGUUUUCGAUUUGUUCUUGCAUGUAUGCAUGUUAAAAUUGUGUGAAUUAUGUUGUGAAAUAAAUACUCAAAUGUU
rnacentral:sRNA from 1 species